rnacentral:rRNA from 1 species
CGGAUGAACGCUAGCGGCAGGCUUAACACAUGCAAGUCGAGGGGCAGCACGGGUAGCAAUACCUGGUGGCGACCGGCGCAAGGGUGCGUAACGCGUGAGCAACAUGCCCUAUACAGGGGGAUAAUCCAGGGAAACUUGGUCUAAUAUCCCAUAGCAUUUAGAGGAGGACAUCUUCACUAAAUUAAAGCUUCGGUGGUAUAGGAUUGGCUCGCGUGACAUUAGCUAGAUGGUGAGGUAACGGCCCACCAUGGCUAUGAUGUCUAGGGGUUCUGAGAGGAAGACCCCCCACACUGGGACUGAGACACGGCCCAGACUCCUACGGGAGGCAGCAGUAGGGAAUUUUCGGCAAUGGGGGAAACCCUGACCGAGCAAUGCCGCGUGAAUGAAGAAGGUCUUCGGACUGUAAAAUUCUGUUAUUUGUGGAAGAAAGGUAGUUGGAGGAAAUGCCAAUUACUUGACGGUACCAAAUGAGAAAGCCCCGGCUAACUAUGUG